UCCUCCUUACAGAGGCAGUUUGUUCCGAGUUCCCGACAUUACUCGCUGGCAACAGAACAUGAGGGUUGCGCUCGUUGCGGGACUUAACCCAACAUCUCACGACACGAGCUGGCGACAGCCAUGCACCACCUGUGUAGGGCCCAAAAGGACACCGUAUCUCUACGGCUUUUCCCUACAUGUCAAGCCCAGGUAAGGUUCUUCGCGUUGCCUCGAAUUAAGCAACAUGCUCCGCUGCUUGUGCGGGCCCCCGUCAAUUCCUUUGGGUUUUAGCCUUGCGGCCGUACUCCCCAGGCGGGGCACUUAAUGCGUUAGCUGCGGCACCGAAGGGGUCGUUCCCCCCAGCACCUAGUGCCCAUCGUUUACGGCGUGGACUAC
rnacentral:misc_RNA from 1 species